GUCCUUUUGUUCAGCCUCACAAUGCUAUUGGGUAGUAAAUGUGUUUAUAGGUCCUGCCCUCGGGCCAUACACUCACACAACUUCAGAAUCUUCAAACGAGCAACAUCUCUUUGUUUUAUUGGACUGGAUAUGUUCAGAUUCAACUAAGCAGCAGCUGAUCCAGUA